GGAAGGAUGGCAGAGCCUGGCUUAUUGCACCCGCUUCGAAAGCGGGCGACCCGCAAGGGUUCGGGGGUUCGAAUCCCUCUCCUUCCGCCA
rnacentral:tRNA from 1 species